GGGAAAUAGCCUAGUGGUUAGAGUACCCGCCUCUGAAGCAUAAGG
rnacentral:tRNA from 11 species